rnacentral:lncRNA from 1 species
CAGGGGGUGCUGGGGCUGGCCCUGCCCUAGAGCUUGCACAGCUUCAGCCCCCAAGAUGUGGGAGCAACUCAGUCUUGCAGGGCACGGUACAUCCACAGAGGUCUCAGAACAGGUACCUGAGAAUCCCACUCAAGCCUCAUGAUCUACUUCUGCUACUCCAAUCAUCAAUUACUACUGAGCUUUUGCUAUCUGAGUUGCCCAUCCACGCUGCUGUAUUGUCUUUGUUAAAAGAUGCUGUUAACCAACAACUGGGACCUCUACAACAGUGCACAAGGAGGAUUGGCUCACAAGGUCCCUGCUCCAGGCUAGAGCAGCCAGUGGAAGCACCAACACCAGUAUCACAAAGAGAUGAUGGAGUCAAAAUGACUGCUUUGGUUGGAGCUGGAUUUUUCUCUGAAGUCUGUAGAAGCUUGUUACCAUGUUAAAUGCCCAGCUUUCAUUAAAUCCACACCUGAAGGGUAAGUAAAUGAAUCCUGAAUUUCAUAUUUGAAGGUAUGUGUGCUUUUCAU